AUUGAACGCUGGCGGCAUGCCUUACACAUGCAAGUCGAACGGCAGCAUGAUCUAGCUUGCUAGAUUGAUGGCGAGUGGCGAACGGGUGAGUAAUACAUCGGAACGUGCCCUGUAGUGGGGGAUAACUAGUCGAAAGAUUAGCUAAUACCGCAUACGACCUGAGGGUGAAAGUGGGGGACCGCAAGGCCUCAUGCUAUAGGAGCGGCCGAUGUCUGAUUAGCUAGUUGGUGAGGUAAAGGCUCACCAAGGCGACGAUCAGUAGCUGGUCUGAGAGGACGAUCAGCCACACUGGGACUGAGACACGGCCCAGACUCCUACGGGAGGCAGCAGUGGGGAAUUUUGGACAAUGGGCGAAAGCCUGAUCCAGCAAUGCCGCGUGUGUGAAGAAGGCCUUCGGGUUGUAAAGCACUUUUGUCCGGAAAGAAAUGGCUCUGGUUAAUACC
rnacentral:rRNA from 1 species